rnacentral:rRNA from 1 species
GAUGGACGCUGGCGGCGUGCCUAAUACAUGCAAGUCGAGCGAACGGACGAGAAGCUUGCUUCUCUGAUGUUAGCGGCGGACGGGUGAGUAACACGUGGAUAACCUACCUAUAAGACUGGGAUAACUUCGGGAAACCGGAGCUAAUACCGGAUAAUAUUUUGAACCGCAUGGUUCAAAAGUGAAAGACGGUCUUGCUGUCACUUAUAGAUGGAUCCGCGCUGCAUUAGCUAGUUGGUAAGGUAACGGCUUACCAAGGCAACGAUGCAUAGCCGACCUGAGAGGGUGAUCGGCCACACUGGAACUGAGACACGGUCCAGACUCCUACGGGAGGCAGCAGUAGGGAAUCUUCCGCAAUGGGCGAAAGCCUGACGGAGCAACGCCGCGUGAGUGAUGAAGGUCUUCGGAUCGUAAAACUCUGUUAUUAGGGAAGAACAUAUGUGUAAGUAACUGUGCACAUCUUGACGGUACCUAAUCAGAAAGCCACGGCUAACUACAUG